GCGUUCAUAGCUCAGUUGGUUAGAGCACCACCUUGACAUGGUGGGGGUCGUUGGUUCGAGUCCAAUUGAACGCACGA
rnacentral:tRNA from 1 species